AGGUGGCAUGAUGGCACAAUGGUUAGUACCAAUGACCCGGCUUUGAUUCCAGCCUUGGGAAACUGUCUUGUGUGGAGUUUGCACAUUCUCCCUGUGUCUGCGUGGGUUUCUGCUGGGUUCUCUGAUUUCCUUCCACGGACCAAGGACGUGCAGGUUAAGUGGAAUGAUCGUGGUAAAUUGCCCUAUUGUAUCAAGAGAUGUGUAGGUGUGUUAGCCAUGGAAUGGCUACCUAGAAUGAAACAAAAGAAGUGGAUAAAGAAAGCUGCUGAAGAGAUGUUAGCCAAUUGAGCUGACAAAUCACUCCACACCACUUAUAGCUUAAACAGAACCAGAUUGUUCAGUUCAAAACCAGCCUGACAAGUGCACAAGCAAAUCUGUGCUUGAAGUUGCUGUUUCAGCUUCUUUUCAGACUAACAAAGCCUGCUCUUCUGCAUAAAUAUUGACUAUUAUGUAAGACAAACUGUGCGUUUAGCUUCCUGCAUUCUGUCUCUUUGAGACAGUAGGCAAACCACCUCAAACUGAAAAAUAUUGCCCUGGAUUGCUGGAGGAAAAAUUGGUUAAGGCUCAAAAAUGUGCGGGAUGAUGGGGUGUCAUUAACCUAUGCCCUGUUCUUCCAAGACAACAAGGUGUAGAGCUGGAUGAACACAACAGGCCAAGCAGCAUCAGAGGAGCAGGAAGGCUGACGUUUCGGGCCUGGUUAAGAAACAGCAUUCUGAUCAGCGUAAGAACCACCUCAGCAGAUCUUGUGAAUAGGAACCACUGAACUGCUUUGAAGUUUUUCCCUCUGCCCCUAACACCCAUCUUUUUCCCCUAUCUGUAUAUGUGCGUAAGAGGAAGUUUAUAAGGAAUUAGAGUUUUAAGUAGUAGAAUUAUAUGGUUCGUGAUUAUUUACCUGUAGCUACAGUCUGUUUAUUUGUAAUAAAUAAUAAUUCUUGUUAA